ACUCAGGACCCUGUUAGUUACGGUAACUCAGGAUCCUGUUAGUUACGGUAACUCAGAGCAGAUCGUAAGUCAGGACCCUGUUAGUUACGGUAACUCAGAGCAGACCGUAAAUCAGGACCCUGUUAGGUACGGUAACUCAGAGCAGACCGUAAAUCAGGACCCUGUUAGUUACGGUAACUCAGAGCAGACCGUAAAUCAGGACCCUGUUAGUUACGGUAACUCAGAGCAGACCGUAAGUCAGGACCCUGUUAGUUACGGUAACUCAGAGCAGA